rnacentral:rRNA from 1 species
AUGUCUCCAGCCGCCGCCGCACCCCAAUCCCCGAUCGUCGUGUCUCCUGGCGAUGACCCCCUCCUCACUCCCUCUUUGUUCUCAUCCUCAAGGCGUCAUCGUCGGCUCCCCUCCUCCGUGAUUCGGCCAUGGCUGCCACUGACGCCCUCCUCUCCAUCGCCACCGGCCAGCCCUCACCUCCACGUCACCGUCUCUCAACCUCCAUCGAUCUCCUGGAUGGAUCUGUCGAUGUUACUAGAUCGACGGAGGGGGGCCUCCACCAUCGCCGUUCUUCUCCCUCCCCAAUCUCCCAUUGUUGUGCUCCUCGGAUCCGGCCAUGGCCAGAACCGACACUGCAUUCCCGGCCACCACCGACAACACCAGCGAGGUGGCCACGGUGGUCGAUACCGGAUCCAUGGAGGAGCUCACCCCGACCUUCUCCUCGUUUCCCCCCAUGGCUGGGUCUCCUGA